rnacentral:rRNA from 1 species
AUUGAACGCUGGCGGCAGGCCUAACACAUGCAAGUCGAGCGGAGCGGCGGACGGGUGAGUAAUGCCUAGGAAUCUGCCUGGUAGUGGGGGAUAACGUCCGGAAACGGGCGCUAAUACCGCAUGCUUUCCGAUGAGCCUAGGUCGGAUUAGCUAGUUGGUGGGUUAAAGGACUACCAAGGCGACGAUCCGUAACUGGUCUGAGAGGAUGAUCAGUCACACUGAGACUGAGACUCGGUCCAGACUCCUGCGGGAGGCAGAAGUGGGGAAUAUGGGACAAUGGGCGAAAGCGUUAUCUAGCCAUGCCGCGUGUUUUAAGAAGGUCUUCGGCUUGUAAAUCACUUUAAGUGGGGAGGCUUUAUCACCAGAAUAAGCACCGGCUAACUUCGUGCCAGCAGCCGCGGUAAUUC